rnacentral:rRNA from 1 species
AGAGUUUGAUCCUGGCUCAGAAUGAACGCUGGCGGCGUGCAUAACACAUGCAAGUCGAACGAGAAACCCCGGCUUGCCGGGGGAGUAAAGUGGCGAACGGGUGAGUAACGCGUGGGUAACCUGCCCCUGAAUCUGGAAUAACCCGUCGAAAGGCGGCCUAAUACCUCAUAACACAUUGAAUUCGCAUGGAUUUAAUGUCAAAGGUUUGUUUGCAAGAGCAGACGCAUAAGGAUGGGCCUGCGUUCCAUUAGUUAGUUGGUGGGGUAACGGCUCACCAAGGCAGCGAUGGAUAGCUGAUUUGAGAGAGUGAUCAGCCACACUGGGACUGAGAUACGGCCCAGACUCCUACGGGAGGCAGCAGUGAGGAAUAUUGCGCAAUGGAGGAAACUCUGACGCAGCAACGCCGCGUGGGGGAUGAAGCUCUAUGGAGUGUAAACCCCUGUAAGCAGGGACGAAAGGUGUGUAAUCGAAAGGUUAUAUGCGUGACGGUACCUGCAGAGUAAGCUCCGGCUAACUCCGUGCCAGCAGCCGCGGUAAUACGGGGGGAGCGAGCGUUGUCCGGAAUUACUGGGCGUAAAGGGCGUGUAGGCGGUUUGAUAAGUCAGAUGUUAAAGGUCCCGGCUUAACCGGGGAAGGUCAUUUGAGACUGUCAGGCUUGAGUGCGAGAGAGGGUAGCGGAAUUCCCAGUGUAGCGGUGAAAUGCGUAGAUAUUGGGAAGAACACCAGUAGCGCAGGCGGCUACCUGGCUCGUAACUGACGCUGAGGCGCGAAAGCGUGGGGAGCAAACAGGAUUAGAUACCCUGGUAGUC